rnacentral:rRNA from 1 species
CCUACGGGAGGCAGCAGUGAGGAAUAUUGGUCAAUGGACGAGAGUCUGAACCAGCCAAGUAGCGUGAAGGAUGACUGCCCUAUGGGUUGUAAACUUCUUUUAUAUGGGAGUAAAACAGGGUAUGUAUACCCUCUUGUAUGUACCAUAUGAAUAAGCAUCGGCUAACUCCGUGCCAGCAGCCGCGGUAAUACGGAGGAUGCGAGCGUUAUCCGGAUUUAUUGGGUUUAAAGGGAGCGUAGGUGGAUUGUUAAGUCAGUUGUGAAAGUUUGCGGCUCAACCGUAAACUUGCCGUUGAAACUGGCAGUCUUGAGUACACUAGAGGUAUGCGGAAUUCGUGGUGUAGCGGUGAAAUGCUAAGAUAUCACGCAGAACUCCGAUUGCGAAGGCAGCUCACUGGACUUCAACUGACGCUGAUGCUCGAAAGUGUGGGUAUCGAACAGGAUUAGAUACCCCUGUAGUC